rnacentral:lncRNA from 1 species
UGUGGUUUCGUGAAGGAACGAUGAAGGUGUAAGGUAUCUCAAGCUCCGAAACCCUUCCAAAAGGGAAGGAAGCUAGAGGAGGGAGUGCAGAAUAGGCACAAGUAAGUUGAACUCUGAAAACAAGGUCUCGAGAAAUCUCAACAACAUUUCCUUAUCAAUUCAACAUUCAAACCAAUACAUUUAUAGCAAUAAAAGAUUCUAAUUCAUUC